rnacentral:lncRNA from 1 species
GCCCCUCGCCCCCCACCCUAGCCCCCGGAGCGCCAUUCGCGGAGCGGCUUACGCUAGUCGCCAGGCGUACGGCGCCCCAGCGGCCGGGGAGGUGCGCUGCCCGGCUCCCGUAAAGUUAUUGUGAAUGGGGAGCGGGUGACGUCAGCGCCGAAUGUCAACAAUGUAGCGAUUGAGAGUGUGGGCGUUCCGGGGAGAGCGCGAGCCGCGCGGCGCGGAGCAAACAGCGCCGAGCCGCCGCCGCCUCAGCAGCAGCAGCAGCAGCGACCGUGCACACCCGGGCUGCGGUCGCAGCAGCGCUAACGUGAGCGCCCGCCGCCGCCCUCUCCACCCCGCCUGCCUAUUCCCGCGGCCGCCGGGCUCUUGCUUUCUCUCCGGCCUCCCCUCGACCCUUCCCCUCCCCCUACGCGGCACACUCGGGGGGCUGGGAACGAGCUGCCAUGUGAUGUGCGUCCUCUCCAAGAGCUUUCGGUGACCCCCGAACCGCCCACCGCGCCAGCUCCCGGGAGGAGGCUGCAGGCUAGAAAGACACUGGGAAGAGGAGGCGGAAAAGGACGCAAAGUUCUCUGGCGAGCACAGCUGUCUGCUUUGGGAAGUGAAGUCUACAGCAACGAGGAGAAUCUUUCCAAGCUGCCUCGCACUGUGACAUGUCUGAGCCCUUGCUCCAGUCCCUGCAACAUGAACAAGGUAAGAGAUACUUUUGAGAAUCCAGCCUUUGUGUCUUCUUUAUGGUACUCUGAUUUUUCUGGGUACAUAAUGUCUUCCCAUGGUGUAAGGUGGUUGCUUCUCCUGCCACAAACAUUCCAGAGGUUGGAGAGUUGUGUGACCCCAGAGUGGUGUUUAUAGGCAGGAUCACAGGAGGUGGUGGCCAUGCUGUGGUUGUAUAGUCUUACAGAUAUGUCACUGUGUUUGUCAGAGGCUUCUGAUCAGCUG